GUGGGGAAUCUUCCGCAAUGGACGAAAGUCUGACGGAGCAACGCCGCGUGAGUGAAGAAGGUCUUCGGAUCGUAAAGCUCUGUUGUACGGGACGAAUGUUGGAGGCGUGAAUAAUGCCAUCAAAUGACGGUACUGUACGAGGAAGCCACGGCUAACUACGUGCCAGCAGCCGCGGUAAUACGUAGGUGGCGAGCGUUGUCCGGAAUUAUUGGGCGUAAAGGGAGCGCAGGUGGGAAGGUAAGUCUGUUUUAAAAGCGUCGGGCUCAACCCGAUGAGGGAACAGAAACUAUUUUUCUUGAGUGCAGGAGAGGAAAGCGGAAUUCCUAGUGUAGCGGUGAAAUGCGGAGAUAUUAGGAGGAACACCAGUGGCGAAGGCGGCUUUCUGGACUGUAACUGACACUGAGGCUCGAAAGCCAGGGGAGCGAACGGGAUUAGAUACCCCUGUAGUCC
rnacentral:rRNA from 1 species